rnacentral:rRNA from 1 species
CCUACGGGAGGCAGCAGUGAGGAAUAUUGGUCAAUGGACGCAAGUCUGAACCAGCCAAGUAGCGUGAAGGAUGACUGCCCUACGGGUUGUAAACUUCUUUUAUAUGGGAAUAAAAUGUGCCACGUGAGGGUUGUUUUGUGUACCCUAUGAAAAAGGAUCGGCUAACUCCCUGCCAGAAGCCGCGGUAAUACGGAGGAUCCGAGCGUUAUCCGGAUUUAUUGGGUUUAAAGGGAGCGUAGGUGGAUUGUUAAGUCAGUUGUGAAAGUUUGCGGCUCAACCGUAAAAUUGCAGUUGAAACUGGCAGUCUUGAGUACAGUAGAGGUGGGCGGAAUUCGUGGUGUAGCGGUGAAAUGCUUAGAUAUCACGAAGAACUCCGAUUGCGAAGGCAGCUCACUGGAGUGCAACUGACACUGAGGCUCGAAAGUGCGGGUAUCAAACAGGAUUAGAUACCCCAGUAGUC